rnacentral:rRNA from 1 species
UCCUACGGGAGGCAGCAGUGGGGAAUAUUGCACAAUGGGGGAAACCCUGAUGCAGCCAUGCCGCGUGUGUGAAGAAGGCCUUGGUUGUAAGCACUUUCAGUAGGGAGGAAAGGGU